rnacentral:rRNA from 1 species
CCUACGGGCGGCAGCAGUGAGGAAUAUUGGUCAAUGGGCGCGAGCCUGAACCAGCCAAGUCGCGUGAAGGAUGACUGCCCUACGGAUUGUAAACUUCUUUUAUCAGGGAAUAAAGUGAGGCACGUGUUCCUUUUUGUAUGUACUUUAUGAAUAAGCAUCGGCUAACUCCGUGCCAGCAGCCGCGGUAAUACGGAGGAUCCGAGCGUUAUCCGGAUUUACUGGGGGUAAAGGGAGCGUAGACGGGGCGGCAAGUCUGCAGUUAAAUGCAGGGGCUUAACCCCUGAACUGCUUUGGAAACUGGCAUGCUAGAGUGCGGGAGAGGUAAGUGGAAUGCCUAGUGUAGCGGUGAAAUGCUUAGAUAUCACGAAGAACUCCGAUUGCGAAGGCAGCUUACUAAACCGCCACUGACACUGAGGCUCGAAAGUGUGGGUAUCAAACAGGAUUAGAUACCCUUGUAGUC